rnacentral:misc_RNA from 1 species
UAGCAAAUCAGCUUUUCAGAGGCACAAGCAAUGGCUGCAACAUGCUAAAACACGUAGUGCCAGACACAAAAUUGUGAAAGUAGGUUUAGUUAAAUAGAUUGAAGAUACAUUAUUCUCAAAACUUUUGUAAUUGCUCUCAGGACUAAAAAUAUAAAGAAAAUUUAUCAUAUACAGUUCUUAAGGGAGCAAGCUGCACUAUCUGCUGCCGAAAUAACAGCAGAUACAAUAAAUGACUUUAUAGCUGAUUCUG